UGGCAGAGUAACUUUCUGGAGAGA
rnacentral:misc_RNA from 1 species